UCAGGAUGAACGCUGGCGGCGUGCUUAACACAUGCAAGUCGAACGGAGUUAAGCGCUGAAUGGGGCUCGGCGGAUUCUGCUUAACUAGUGGCGGACGGGUGAGUAACGCGUGAGUAACCUGCCCCCGAGUGGGGAAUAACGUUCUGAAAAGGACGCUAAUACCGCAUAAUAUAUGUUUGUCGCAUGGCAGGCAUAUCAAAAGAUUUAUCGCUCGAGGAUGGACUCGCGUCCGAUUAGCUUGUUGGCGGGGUAACGGCCCACCAAGGCGACGAUCGGUAGCCGGACUGAGAGGUUGAACGGCCACAUUGGGACUGAGACACGGCCCAGACUCCUACGGGAGGCAGCAGUGGGGGAUAUUGCGCAAAAUGGGGGAAACCCUGACGCAGCAACGCCGCGUGGAGGAUGACGGUUUUCGGAUUGUAAACUCCUUUUAUAAGGGACGAACUAAGACGGUACCUUAUGAAUAAGCUCCGGCUAACUACGUGCCAGCCGCCGC
rnacentral:rRNA from 1 species